rnacentral:rRNA from 3 species
AAACCAACCGGGAUUGCCUUAGUAACGGCGAGUGAAGCGGCAAAAGCUCAAAUUUGAAAUCUGGUACCUUUGGUGCCCGAGUUGUAAUUUGGAGAGGGCAACUUUGGGACCGUUCCUUGUCUAUGUUCCUUGGAACAGGACGUCAUAGAGGGUGAGAAUCCCGUGUGGCGAGGAGUGCGGUUCUAUGUAAAGUGCCUUCGAAGAGUCGAGUUGUUUGGGAAUGCAGCUCUAAGUGGGUGGUAAAUUCCAUCUAAAGCUAAAUAUUGGCGAGAGACCGAUAGCGAACAAGUACAGUGAUGGAAAGAUGAAAAGAACUUUGAAAAGAGAGUGAAAAAGUACGUGAAAUUGUUGAAAGGGAAGGGCAUUUGAUCAGACAUGGUGUUUUGCGCCCUCUGCUCCUUGUGGGUGGGGGAAUCUCGCAGUUCACUGGGCCAGCAUCAGUUUUGGUGGCAGGAUAAAUCCGUAGGAAUGUAACUUGCUUCGGGAAGUAUUAUAGCCUAUGGGAAUACUGCCAACUGGGACUGAGGACUGCGACGUAAGUCAAGGAUGCUGGCAUAAUGGUUAUAUGCCGC